UGAGGCGUGGCUUCCGGAGCUAACGCGUUAAGUCGACCGCCUGGGGAGUACGGCCGCAAGGUUAAAACUCAAAUGAAUUGACGGGGGCCCGCACAAGCGGUGGAGCAUGUGGUUUAAUUCGAUGCAACGCGAAGAACCUUACCUGGUCUUGACAUCCACGGAAGUUUUCAGAGAUGAGAAUGUGCCUUCGGGAACCGUGAGACAGGUGCUGCAUGGCUGUCGUCAGCUCGUGUUGUGAAAUGUUGGGUUAAGUCCCGCAACGAGCGCAACCCUUAUCCUUUGUUGCCAGCGGUCCGGCCGGGAACUCAAAGGAGACUGCCAGUGAUAAACUGGAGGAAG
rnacentral:rRNA from 1 species